UUUCAAAUAAAACCCUCUUAUUUUUGAAAAAUUGUUGUGCAGAUGUUGAAAUUAGAUACAUUUGGGCUUUAAAAAUGGCGUCUAUUUUCUGUUGCUUCGCAAUAUGGUUGAUUUUGCAGUCCAAACAAGCGUUUUAGAUGGGUAGAGAAAAUGUGUGAAUUCAAAGGACAUCAUUGCUGUUGGUAUGUUAAAUUAUUUUGGCAAUUUAAGUAAUUGUGGAGUAAGCCAACCCAUGUAGAGGGUUUCAGUAUUGAUAUACAAUGAUGUAUAGUGUUUCAUUGUAUAAUAACUGAAUUUUCUUGUUUUGUACUGUAGUUUUAUCAAUGAAAAUUAAACUUAUGUAAGGAAAAUAUUGUUUAGUAUCAAUAGUUUAUCAACAAGUCCAUGUGUUUGGUUCCUAACGCAUAAUUUAAACCCCAAAAUGCAAAUAUCUAUAUUUGCCGGCA